GUGUAAUCCUCCCACACCCCGUCUUUCCAGUUUCCACCUCCCACAGAAAUCCCAAUCUGCGCCGCCACCAAAGCCUAGCCCCCGCGGCAGUUCUCGGCCCGGCCCUGCCCUCCGGCGCCAACUCCACCCUCGGCCGGCGACUUCCCAUUCUCCUAUGUCGGCAUCCUCGCUGGUCGGAGCCCCGCCAGCCGUCGGCGUACUCCCCGUUGCCACGUCGCGCCCCUCCCAACUCUCAUCGCCACAGCGUCCCGCAAGAUGGGAUCCGCCAUGUCAAGAAGAACUGAUCCUGAUGCAUCAGAUCUCAUGAAGUAAAUCUCGAUGGUGGGGGAGAAGGAGCGAAUACAUUAAUCAGGUGCAGGUUCGAAUGACUGGCCAUUAAGUAGACUACUUUUACUCUCUGUGGGAGAGUUCCAGUUUAAGUUGCAAUUCCAACAUGAUUUGUACGUUCAUUGUUUGAUGAUGUAUAGUUUUAGCUUCCAGAAACUAGCAUCACUUUCGCCUAGUACUUACGAAGCAAAAAUGACAUAUCUAUGUGGGUUUUUACUUUAUAGGUUCUGGCUUCACAUGACUUCGUGAGACUGACAAGGCAUAUUUUUUGGUCCACCACUAAUGGCUAGUGCGAUUAUUUUCAUGGAUUUUUGCUUACUUUAGCUCGGUAGAUGCUCAGUAUUUGUCUUACUUGUACCAUUUUGGGAAGUGUUUAUUGCAUCUUAAUUAGGCAUGAGUAAGAUCAGAACAAGCCAAGUUAUGUACAAUUUGAAAAAGAUCCAAACUAGAUAUAGUUUUCCGCUCAGUUUGAUCCAGUACACCUGGUCAGGCAAAUUGUGGUUCGCCAACCUAUCUGAUAUAGCCUUGAAACAUUCUGAUUUUACACAAGUCAGCUAGGGCAUAGGGAAAUGCAUGUUAGUAUCUGACAAUGGAGGAUGCGACUCACUGUUGAGUCAACAAAUUGACCAGAUCAACGCCCUGUUACACACAGCUGCCCUAUACCUAACCCCUGAAAGAAACAAAAAAAAGUUGUAUCCCUCUCCCCAGAUACGGCGCAUCCAUGGCUCCUGACGGGGAUAACUUCCGACAUUGAUACUUCCAUGACAUCUGGGUGAUGCCGCUCGCUACCAACCAAAGUCCCCCUGCCCCCAUCGGAAGAUGCAGCCGAUACCACUACCUUGCAGCCAUAGAUUGAUUCCUUCCUGCGCUGGCAGGCUAGAUGUUGAAGGAGGUAGCGGAGGUGCAGCCGUGUGUCCAUCCUCUCCUAUGGAAGGCACCUGGUACAGUGGUACCCCAUGAUCCUCCUUCCAAUUGAUAUUUUUAUUGUCAAUUUGUGUUUGCCCCCAAACAUUUUUUUCCUUCUUCAAUAAGUACAACUCCCAUGAGCGAUUGAUCAGAUCUUUAAUUUCGGUUGUUGGUUGAGUUCACCUUGUUAUGUAUCAGAAUUAAUGAUGGGAUUCAUGUUUUUGUACAUAUCACGGAGGAUCUAGUAUGAUAAUAUUAAUACUUCUACAUAGUAUUACCUCACCUUCCAUACCAUUGUCCACUUGUUUUGUGCUACUAUCCAAUGGGGGCACGUUUAUUUUGUUGCCAUGUCACGUAAGAGUAUAAUAUACUUAUGAUAUAUCCGAGAGUGUAUAUAAAGACUAGAUUUUGUAGUAUGUUAAGGUGAUCAAAGUUUCUCUGUGUUACCUUUAUACAUGACAACAGAUUAUAAUGCUGCCAAAUUUAUGUGGGCUAUAACCAAACAAAACACUGCAAUUUCUUUCUGGCAACAGUUUAGCUGGUCAAUUUUAUACAGAUUGUAAUAAUAUAAAACUGAUGUGGGCUUUAACCAAACCACAUACAAUAUUUUUUUUUCUGUCCGCACAUUAACUGGUCAUUUUUAUACAGAUUAUAAUAUUGUCAAAUCGACGUGGGCUAUAACCAAACAUCACUGUGAUUCUUUUCUUUCAGCAAACAGCCACAGAUGAUCUUUUGCAAGUGAAAAGAAUACAUAUUUAUAAGGAGCAAUCAAUGUGGGACCAAUACAAGGAUUUAGAGGACAAAACUAAUUAUAUGGACAGAUUAUAACAGGUUUUAUAUCGGAAAUAAUCUUGAAACGUGCAAGGGAAUCUUCACAUUUUUCUAGAAGUCAUUUCCAUAAAAGCUGCGAAAGCCGUCAAGCUGAUGUACCAAACUAGCUAUAGAAUUUUUAGAUAGAUUUCCACUGAGAAUUUCCAUUUUUUUCUCAAAUUGGUUUCAACUUUUAGAUAGUUAGAAUUAGAAUUAGAAGUUUAUUUUCUAGUGACAUACACAUUAUUGUAUGAACGUGCAGUUCACUGGUAAAGUAUCAAUACCCUUUGUAAUAAAAAUAGUUGUAAUGGCUUGCACAUUGCUACUUGUUUUGCUGUGUUGAUUAUGAGAAACCUUUUCAGUUAA